rnacentral:rRNA from 1 species
GACGAACGCUGGCGGCGUGCCUAAUACAUGCAAGUCGAGCGCAGGAAACUGACGGAACUCUUCGGAGGGAUGGCAGUGGAAUGAGCGGCGGACGGGUAAGUAACACGUAAGGAACCUGCCUCAAGGAUUGGGAUAACUCCGAGAAAUCGGAGCUAAUACCGGAUAGUUCAACGGACCGCAUGGUCCGUUGAUGAAAGGCGCUCCGGCGUCACCUUGAGAUGGCCUUGCGGUGCAUUAGCUAGUUGGUGGGGUAACGGCCCACCAAGGCGACGAUGCAUAGCCGACCUGAGAGGGUGAUCGGCCACACUGGGACUGAGACACGGCCCAGACUCCUACGGGAGGCAGCAGUAGGGAAUCUUCCACAAUGGACGAAAGUCUGAUGGAGCAACGCCGCGUGAGUGAUGAAGGUUUUCGGAUCGUAAAACUCUAUUGUAAGGGAAGAACACGUACGAGAGGGAAUGCUCGUACCUUGACGGUACCUUACGAGAAAGCCACGGCUAACUACGUGCCAGCAGCCGCCGUAAAAC